UACGUAGGGUGCGAGCGUUAAUCGGAAUUACUGGGCGUAAAGCGUGCGCAGGCGGUUCGUUGUGUCGGUGGUGAAAGCCCCGGGCUUAACCUGGGAAUGGCCAUGGAAACUGGCGAACUGGAGUGUGGCAGAGGGGGGUGGAAUUCCGCGUGUAGCAGUGAAAUGCGUAGAGAUGCGGAGGAACACCGAUGGCGAAGGCGGCAUCCUGGACCGACAUUGACGCUGAUGAGCGAAAGCUAGGGGAGCAAACGGG
rnacentral:rRNA from 1 species